AUCAUUAUUGAAAAACCAGACCUAAUUUUACUCCAACUUUACUCUCUCCACUUACUCUGCCUCUCUCCACUCCCGUCUCUCCACUCCCGCAGCCACACAGCCCCAUUCCAAAACGAAGACUUUCAGCAGCAACGGCGAUGGCGACCCCGACCACAAACCUGCGGCCGUCGCUCCGAUCAACCCAGGCAGCACACCUCAUCUCCACCCCGUUCCUCACCAGCCUAAACUCGCCAACACCACCACCACACUCUGUGAGUUCUGCCUCAACAAGGUCAAGAAGCUCAGAUUCAACCUUUUCCAGUGCAUUAGCUUUUACUGCUGAAAGGUACAAUGCAGAGGCAAAACAGUCAUAAUCAGAACGGGCUUGAAUUGAGGCCGUGAAAGCUUACCCACAAGCCGAAACGCAUAUAAAUUCUAGCAACCACUGUAAGUAAGGAGAUGAAGUUGCUUUUUGGAAGCCAACCAAGAUGGAGUUGAAGACUUUUUGGUAGUUAUUUUUGGAAACUAACCAAGAUGGAGUAAAUGGAACACAUGUUUUGAGUUCUUCUUGGAUAUGGAUGUUUUGUAGUUUUGGUAAUGUUAAAUUUGAAGUGGUUAUUGUUAGAGGAUGAAUGUUUUGAAAUGUUUUGAAGUUGGAUGAUCAAUGUUGACUUAAUGGAUAUUUGAUUUGAAUGAUAUUUUGCUUCUUCGCAAUUUAAGUUUUGCUAAGUUGAAUUAUAAGAUACAUAAAAAUCUGAAAUUUAAUUUGUAAGCAGGUGAA